GAAAUCAGAGCUGCGGUGUUGGCGUCGACUUCACCAGUACGGCAUCGUGACGGCCAUUUCAUUCGGAGCCCGGGACUCGGCAAUUUCCAGCCAUGUCUGGAGUGAGCUCGGUCUCAACGGCCACUGACCAGCCUAAUAGCGAGGAAGAUGACGACAACAGGCGUGCAUCGUUCAUCGUCUGCUGCAACAUAGUGCUCUUCAUCAUCAUGAUCAUCCUCCUUAUACUGCUCUUCAUUCGAUACACG
rnacentral:lncRNA from 1 species